rnacentral:rRNA from 1 species
GACGUAGGGCGCGAGCGUUGUCCGGAUUUAUUGGGCGUAAAGAGCUCGUAGGCGGCUUGUUGCGUCGACUGUGAAAACCCGCGGCUUAACCGCGGGCCUGCAGUUGAUACGGGCAGGCUAGAGUUCGGUAGGGGAGACUGGAAUUCCUGGUGUAGCGGUGAAGUGCGCAGAUAUCAGGAGGAACACCGGUGGCGAAGGCGGGUCUCUGGGCCGAUACUGACGCUGAGGAGCGAAAGCGUGGGGAGCGAACAGG